AAUACAUUUGUCAACAUGCAUUCCUUUGAAUGGUAGCUUAACAACCCAUCACAAAAUGGUAGUUACGGAAGAUGUAUACAAGAGGAGACGACAACAUGUAGUCAAUUUAAAACACAAGUAUAAGAAUUAUACUCUGCUUUAGUGCAAGCCAUUCAAAAAGCAUACUUGAUUCAAGUUUGGAUAUGAGAACACCGUGACAAAAGUUUCUCUUUCUAGGAUUCGUCGAUGCCUCACCGUGCACCUCUCCUAGUCUCCCUUUCCUCCGUACAUUUUUCGCAUCCUCAAUUUCUCCUAGCGUUCCUUCAAACAAGAAAAUGAGAAGAUAUUUUUUUCAAGGGGCAUCAACACAGAACCAUGACCUUCGCAUCUUCGUGAAGACUAUUGGCGAGUGAACCUUCAUGCGGAGCCAUGUUUUCCAUUGACAACGUCCUCCGCCCUGGCCUAUAUCACACAAGUUCUUUUCCAUCAGAUCUACCAUGCCAUAUAACAUGAUGAUUUAAGAAUGAACGUGUAAGUGUUCCUAGCAUGAAAAGCAUAGCAAAUUCGAGUGCCAGAACAUAACAGUGAAGUUGUACACUUUCAUGCGGAGUUGAGCUUCAAUACAAUGCCAGAGCUCUAUCUUCAGCGAACUGGUAAUAUGAAAAUAUCAGUACCAAAAAUAUAAUUGUGAAAUGGUGAGCACGAACUUAACUUUGGAUGUUCAGUGCCAAUUAUGAUGCCCAACUCAGUUGAUGUUACCACGGAGAAUUAUAUAACAAGCAUUGAGCGUUAAGUAGCUUGAAACCUUAUACUUAAGGUCACUUGUCUAUCUGAUUGUAAAUGACAGGAUGCAAUAUUGCAUUAUCAUUACUUAAUUGAAGACUAUAAUUAUAUUUGCGAUUGUUAUUAAAGCAAACUUCAUACACAAAUUCUAGAGCAUCAGAUUUCUCUUCGUAUAGAAGGUCCUAAAAUCAGUGAGCUCUAGAAACUUCAGGCAGAAAAUUAUCGCGAGGGCAUACAAAUUGAAGUAUAAUUCGAAGAAUCAACCCGGGAAACUACAACCAGGAACCAUUUUAUUUCGGCUUUAGUUCCUAAUUUUUUUAAUAUUGACUAUCUAGUGUGGAAAAGAGUAAUUUAUAACCUCUGUGUCCAUAUCGGUAUGUCCCAGUUUCAGUCAUCAUCAUUUCAAUUACAGUUUCCUCUCGUGCAAGCCCCAAAUCAGUAAGCUUCAGCUUCC
rnacentral:lncRNA from 1 species